rnacentral:lncRNA from 1 species
UGAUAUGAAUAGCAAGAGCUUUUUUUUGUCUUGGUUGACGGUAUUACAGGUUGUGGAAUCCAAACAGUUACCUUGAGCCAUGAACAGGGUGAGAACCUCCACUUGAGCUCACCCAGUAGAGUGUUCAUUUGUCUGAAUUUUUGAGGUAUUUCCUGAGUUCCACCAGCAGUCGAAAGUUGGAUGGUUAUUUUGUGCAAGUCAUAUGAAACUCUGAUGCUUGAUGUGCGCCAAUCAUCAUUUGCUUAGACCUGUAAAGCAUCUCGGUAAUCUAUCUUCUUUUCCCGUGGCCUAUGAUGGAUCGAGUGAAGCAUGGAGCUGUUGCUCCUCCCGCAUCGCAGGGACCAAAGAUUGCUCUGGUUUUCUAAGCGAGCUUUUCAUUGACCACAGGGGGGGAGAAAGAUAACCUUUCUGGUGUAGGCGUGCAUCUUCCCGGCUUUGCCCACACAUGUUGUGUUGACGAUUGGCCUGGUUCAUCUUGAUGGUAACAUUUUUAAACCAUGAAAUAUCUGUCAUGAGAUUUACUCCUACUACCCUUUUGGCACUGGGCCUGUAAACCACCGUUGCUGGUCGUAGUACUCAAAUGACAGCCGUACGGAUCAGUCCCGGUGCCCGAGAAAGGCUCCAUCUUUCUGCUCUCUUUGCUUGUGGUUUGGUGCACUGAAAAGAAUGUGGGGGGAGGGAGGUCAUGGGAAGAAAUAGUUUACAAAACCAGCUGGGGCAAGGCAUUGCGGUGUUUUACUG